rnacentral:rRNA from 1 species
UACAGAGGUCUCAAGCGUUGUUCGGAUUCAUUGGGCGUAAAGGGUGCGUAGGUGGCGGUGUAAGUCUAACGUGAAAUCUCGGGGCUCAACCUCGAAAUUGCGUCGGAUACUGCAUCGCUAGAGGAUUGUAGAGGAGAGUGGAAUUCAUGGUGUAGCAGUGAAAUGCGUAGAUAUCAUGAGGAAGACCAGUUGCGAAGGCGACUCUCUGGGCAACUCCUGACCCUGAGGCACGAAGGCUAGGGGAGCAAACGGG